UCUCCCUCUCCCCCUCUUCCCUCCCCCGUUGGUGUUUCUUCCAGCUCAGCCUCCUUCUCAUUCCAUCUCUACGUGCCCAGAGCUUCAAAUACAACCCUCCCAUCACAGUCAGACGGGCACAAAACUUCAACCAGCCGUUUCUCUGCCUGGAAGCGGCGAACAUGUAACCUGGACGGGCACGAGAGAAGAUGAAGGGGAAAGGAGCGAACUCCAGAGUCUUAGAGAGGCAGUACGACGGGUUCUCGCACCAACCAGCACUUUCUGUGUGGAGUCUCACCUCUUGUAACCCUGAGUGCAAAAAUACCAGGAACAAGCUGACUUCCCACCUGGCAGAACAGAAUGCUAAACAGGCCGACCUCUUUAGGAAUCUGGUGAAAGCCACAAACCCUCUCUCUAGAAAAGCACACACAAACAUAACAUUUUGCAAUUCACUUUCAAGAGCCCCAGGUUCCCAUAAAGAGACUUAAGAACCUUGAUAGUAGAGAGCAAGUUCUUCAAGGGCCAGGCCCAUAUCCUAGUCCUCCUUCCUUCCUUCCUCCUCCACCUCCUCAGUCCCUCCCUUGAAUGCUUCCCGAUUCUAUUCCAAAAUGCUCAGACAAGUCUAGACCACAGCCUUGCACUGCAUCUCUCCUAGGGAGGAUGGUGUGACCACAGAGACCCUGGGCCCACCUGGGGGAGCCCUGAGUUCCCCUGG